rnacentral:rRNA from 1 species
UACGGAGGGUGCGAGCGUUGUCCGGAAUCACUGGGCGUGAAGGGCGCGUAGGCGGCCCGUCAAGCGUGUGGUGAAAGCCCGGGGCUCAACUGGGGAGAGUCAUUCGAUACUGUUCGACUCGAAGGCAGGAGAGGGAAGUGGAAUUCCGGGUGUAGUGGUGAAAUGCGUAGAUAUCCGGAGGAACACCAGUGGCGAAGGCGACUUUCUGGCCUGUUCUUGACGCCGAGGCGCGAAAGCUAGGGGAGCAAACGGG